GGGAAUUUUGGACAAUGGGCGCAAGCCUGAUCCAGCCAUGCCGCGUGAGUGAAGAAGGCCUUCGGGUUGUAAAGCUCUUUCGGACGGAAAGAAAUCGCGCAGGCUAAUACCCUGCGCGGAUGACGGUACCGUCAUAAGAAGCACCGGCUAACUACGUGCCAGCAGCCGCGGUAAUACGUAGGGUGCGAGCGUUAAUCGGAAUUACUGGGCGUAAAGCGUGCGCAGGCGGUUGAUUAAGACAGGCGUGAAAUCCCCGGGCUUAACCUGGGAACUGCGCUUGUGACUGGUCAGCUAGAGUACGGCAGAGGGGGGUGGAAUUCCACGUGUAGCAGUGAAAUGCGUAGAGAUGUGGAGGAACACCGAUGGCGAAGGCAGCCCCCUGGGCCGAUACUGACGCUCAUGCACGAAAGCGUGGGUAGCAAACAGG
rnacentral:rRNA from 1 species